GGCAAAAGCAAGAAGGCCAAAGGCUCCAAAAGCGGCAAGGGGGGGGGGGGGCCAAGAAAGCCAAGAGCGGCCCCAAAAGCAAAUCCGGGGGGGGGCGGCGGCGAGGCGAGGAAGAGGAAGAAGACGAAGGCCAAAAGCGGCGGGGGGGGGCUGAAGAAAUCCAAAGCCGACAGCUGCGGGCAGAGCGGGACCCCCCCCCAGCAAAGCGCUUCGAGAGCCGGAGGUCCCGUAGAGACUCAUUGGUCGGGUUCGGAGAAAUCGGGGGGCAGCCCGAAACCCCCCAGCCCUAAAACGGCCCCCCCGGGAAGCAAAGGGACGGCGGCGGCGGCGACCGAAAGCGAAGUGACUCCGGAUUCGCAGACGGUGGACAGCAGCUGUAAAACCCCCGACGUGUCCUUCCUCGUUGAGGAAGGGGGGGGAGGAGGAGGAGGAGGAGGAGUCGUCGGGGGGGGGCGGAAAGAGAAGCGCCCCCUUCCCCCCCAGCGCCGCCCCGCGUGGGAACCCGAAGCCGACAGCCGCAGUGGGGGAGAAGGAGGGCCC
rnacentral:lncRNA from 1 species